AACAGCCGACACCAGAAGCUGGAAGAGUCAGGGAACAGUGUCUCCCCUGGAGCCCCCAGAAGGAGUACAGCCCUGUCAACACCUUACUUUGCCCCAGUGAUACUGAUUUUGGACUCCGGGCCCCUAGAACUGAGAGAAUAAAUUUCUGUUUGUUUUAAGCCACCAAGUCUGUGGUAAUUUGCCACAAGAGCUUUAGGAGACCAGUCUACCAUGUAGAACCAGCCACGUGCCCCCGUCUGUCUGGCUCAGCCCCAGUACUCAGAACAGUACCUGGCGCACUGGAGGGCCUUGCUACUUUCUUCACCUGUAAAACGGAGAACAAAUGAUACACACUUCACAAGGCUGUUUUGAGCGCCACAGUUAUAAUUCCGUUGUGGAAAGUUUUCGUCUGAAGGGCUCGGAAUUGUUUGGCAGGAAGGAAGCGCUCACUGAUGGCUCGCAACUGUCAUCACAGUGAAGAAGUCAGGAAGGAUCCGCAUUAAAUGACGUCAUUAUCUUGGGCGGUGACGGUGGAUCAUGGAGGACAGUAAGUCUUGUGGGUUCAGAUGUUUCAGAUGAUCGGGGAUAAUCAGGAAAAAUUACUGUUAAUAUCUUUCCUUUUUAAAUUUUUUUUAACGUUUAUUUAUU